GACAAACGGAUCAAGUUAAGAUUUGUUCAGUAAAAAAGGAGGUUAAGAAAAUAAAUUUAAGAAAACCUGUUUUUUCUAAAGAAGUGAAAUUUGUACAGGGAUGGUUGGUCUGUUGUUUUCUUAUUUCUGAUGCCUCGAAAGUUUGAUAUAAGACCGGGAUUAGAUACCCCGUUAUUUUCCCUGUAAACUUUGAUUGUAAAUAAUUUACUAGGGUAUUACGGACUGCAGUAAACCAGUGAAUUAUGGUUUGGUGUGAUUGUUUAAAACUCAAAAAACUUGGCGGUGUCUUAUUUCUUUCCGGGGGAACCUGUUCUGUAAUCGAUGAUCCACGAUUUAACUUACCUAGUCUUGAAUAUUAAUUAUUUACUAGUAAUUAAUACAGCUUGUAUACCGUCGUCGUCAGAUUACCUUUAAGAGUAGAAGUAGUUGUCAGAAGGAGUAGAUUCUGAUUUACAGUUGUGUAGUGACGUUUACGAUUCUUGAUGUCAGAUCAAGGUGCAGCUUAUGACGAGGGAGAAAUGGGUUACAAUAAUUAUUUCUUAAACGGAUUUUGUUUUGUGAAAGAUGAAUGAAGGUGGACUCGGGAGUAAUACAUGAAUUAGAGAGUCAGUGUGAAGUGUGGUGCUAAGGCGCGU
rnacentral:rRNA from 1 species